AACGCACCUUGCGCCCCUUGGUAUUCCGAGGGGCAUGUCUGUCUGAGCGUCGUGAAACUCUCAGCCUCUCCCUUUGCUCUUCGGGGUGCUGGGGGCUGGUUGGAUCGUGAGCUUUGCCGGGGCCUCGUGCCCGGGCUGGCUUGAAAUGCAUCGGUGGAUCCUUGGAAGGCCUCUGAAAGCCCUCGGACCUGGCAUGAUAGAAAUGUCGUUGCUGUGGGACUCGGAGCGACUAGGAAGCCUUUGUGAGGGACCAUCUAGAGUGCUUGCCUCCGGGCCGCGCUUGAACCAACCCACCUUGGGUGGGGACUCUCCAACCUUGACCUCAGAUCAGGCAGGACUACCCGCUGAACUUAA
rnacentral:misc_RNA from 1 species